rnacentral:rRNA from 1 species
GACGAACGCUGGCGGCGUGCCUAAUACAUGCAAGUAGAACGCUGAAGGAGGAGCUUGCUCUUCUGGAUGAGUUGCGAACGGGUGAGUAACGCGUAGGUAACCUGCCUGGUAGCGGGGGAUAACUAUUGGAAACGAUAGCUAAUACCGCAUAAUAGUAGAUGUUGCAUGAUAUUUACUUAAAAGGUGCAAUUGCACCACUACCAGAUGGACCUGCGUUGUAUUAGCUAGUUGGUGGGGUAACGGCUCACCAAGGCGACGAUACAUAGCCGACCUGAGAGGGGGAUCGGCCAAACUGGGACUGGGACACGGCCCAGACUCCUACGGGAGGCAGCAGUAGGGAAACUUCGGCAAUGGACGAAAGUCUGAACGGGCAACGCCGCGUGAGUGAAGAAGGUUUUCGGAUCGUAAAGCUCUGUUGUAAGAGAAGAAAGAGUGUGGGAGUGGAAAGUUCACACUGUGACGGUAUCUUACCAGAAAGAGACGGCUAACUACGUG